rnacentral:rRNA from 1 species
UGGGGAAUAUUGCACAAUGGGCGCAAGCCUGAUGCAGCCAUGCCGCGUGUAUGAAGAAGGCCUUCGGGUUGUAAAGUACUUUCAGCGGGGAGGAAGGGAGUAAAGUUAAUACCUUUGCUCAUUGACGUUACCCGCAGAAGAAGCACCGGCUAACUCCAUGCCAGCAGCCGCGGUUAUACGGAGGGUGCAAGCGUUAAUCGGAAUUACUGGGCGUAAAGCGCACGCAGGCGGUUUGUUAAGUCAGCUGUGAAAUCCCCGGGCUCAACCUGGGAACUGCAUCUGAUACUGGCAAGCUUGAGUCUCGUAGAGGGGGGUAGAAUUCCAGGUGUAGCGGUGAAAUGCGUAGAGAUCUGGAGGAAUACCGGUGGCGAAGGCGGCCCCCUGGACGAAGACUGACGCUCAGGUGCGAAAGCGUGGGGAGCAAGCAGG